UACGUAGGGCGCAAGCGUUAUCCGGAAUUAUUGGGCGUAAAGAGCUCGUAGGCGGUUUGCCGCGUCUGCCGUGAAAGUCCGGGGCUCAACUCCGGAUCUGCGGUGGGUACGAGCAGACUAGAGUGAUGUAGGGGAGACUGGAAUUCCUGGUGUAGCGGUGAAAUGCGCAGAUAUCAGGAGGAACACCGAUGGCGAAGGCAGGUCUCUGGGCAUUAACUGACGCUGAGGAGCGAAAGCAUGGGGAGCGAACAGG
rnacentral:rRNA from 1 species